rnacentral:rRNA from 2 species
AUUAAUUUGAGAGUUUGAUCCUGGCUCAGGACGAACGCUGGCGGCGUGCCUAAUACAUGCAAGUCGAACGAACUCUGGUAUUGAUUGGUGCUUGCAUCAUGAUUUACAUUUGAGUGAGUGGCGAACUGGUGAGUAACACGUGGGAAACCUGCCCAGAAGCGGGGGAUAACACCUGGAAACAGAUGCUAAUACCGCAUAACAACUUGGACCGCAUGGUCCGAGUUUAAAAGAUGGCUUCGGCUAUCACUUUUGGAUGGUCCCGCGGCGUAUUAGCUAGAUGGUGGGGUAACGGCUCACCAUGGCAAUGAUACGUAGCCGACCUGAGAGGGUAAUCGGCCACAUUGGGACUGAGACACGGCCCAAACUCCUACGGGA